GACGAACGCUGGCGGCGUGCUUAACACAUGCAAGUCGAACGGAAAGGCCCUGCUUUUGUGGGGUGCUCGAGUGGCGAACGGGUGAGUAACACGUGAGUAACCUGCCCUUGACUUUGGGAUAACUUCAGGAAACUGGGGCUAAUACCGGAUAGGAGCUCCUGCUGCAUGGUGGGGGUUGGAAAGUUUCGGCGGUUGGGGAUGGACUCGCGGCUUAUCAGCUUGUUGGUGGGGUAGUGGCUUACCAAGGCUUUGACGGGUAGCCGGCCUGAGAGGGUGACCGGCGACAGUGGGAAUGAGAUACGGCCGAGACUCGUACGGGAGGCAGCAGUGGGGAAUGUGGCACAAUGGGCGGAAGCCUGAUGCAGCAACGCCGCGUGCGGGAGGACGGCCGUCGGGUUGUAAAACGCUUGCGCCUGUGACGAAGCGUGAGGGACGGGAAUGGGUAAAGAAGCACCGGAUAACUACGUG
rnacentral:rRNA from 1 species